GAUGAACGCUAGCGGCAGGCCUAAUACAUGCAAGUCGAACGGGUGGUCGCAAGACCACUAGUGGCGCACGGGUGCGUAACGCGUAACCAACCUGCCCCGAUCUGGGGGAUAGCCCGCCGAAAGGCGGAUUAAUACCGCAUAUACCCGCAGCCUGGCAUCAGGCAACGGGGAAAGAUUUAUUGGAUCGGGAUGGGGUUGCGUGACAUUAGCUAGUUGGCGGGGUAAGGGCCCACCAAGGCGACGAUGUCUAGGGGACCUGAGAGGGUGAUCCCCCACACUGGCACUGGGAUACGGGCCAGACUCCUACGGGAGGAAGCAGUAGGGAAUAUUGGGCAAGGGGCGAGAGCCUGACCCAGCCAUGCCGCGUGCCGGAUGAAGGCCUUCUGGGUUGUAAACGGCUUUUCUCAGGGAAGAAAAAGACCUUGCGAGGUACACUGACGGUACCUGAGGAAUAAGCACCGGCUAACUCCGUG
rnacentral:rRNA from 1 species